rnacentral:tRNA from 1 species
GAGUAUGAAGUAAUAAAUUACAGUUAGUUUCGACCUAACAUUAGGUAAAAAUACCCCUACUCU